UACAGAGGUGGCAAGCGUUGUUCGGAAUUACUGGGCGUAAAGGGCGCGUAGGCGGUUCGUUAAGUCCUGUGUGAAAUCCCCCGGCUCAACUGGGGAACUGCACAGGAAACUAGCGGGCUUGAGUUCGGGAGAGGGAAGCGGAAUUCCGGGUGUAGCGGUGGAAAUGCGUAGAUAUCCGGAGGAACACCGGUGGCGAAGGCGGCUUCCUGGACCGGACACUGACGCUGAGGCGCGAAAGCUAGGGGAGCAAACGGG
rnacentral:rRNA from 1 species